rnacentral:rRNA from 1 species
GGCAGGCCUAACACAUGCAAGUCGAACGAGUGGCGGACGGGUGAGUAAUGUCUGGGAAACUGCCUGAUGGAGGGGGAUAACUACUGGAAACGGUAGCCAAUACCGCAUACCAUCGGAUGUGCCCAGAUGGGAUUAGCUAGUAGGUGGGGUAAAGGCUCACCUAGGCGACGAUCCCUAGCUGGUCUGAGAGGAUGACCAGCCACACUGGAACUGAGACACGGUCCAGACUCCUACGGGAGGCAGCAGUGGGGAAUAUUGCACAAUGGGCGCAAGCCUGAUGCAGCCAUGCCGCGUGUAUGAAGAAGGCCUUCGGGUUGUAAAGUACUUUCAGCGGGGAGGCGUUACCCGCAGAAGAAGCACCGGCUAACUCCGUGCCAGCAGCCGCGGUAAUACGGAGGGUGCAAGCGUUAAUCGGAAUUACUGGGCGUAAAGCGCACGCAGGCGGUUUGUUAAGUCAGAUGUGAAAUCCCCGGGCUCAACCUGGGAACUGCAUCUGAUACUGGCAAGCUUGAGUCUCGUAGAGGGGGGUAGAAUUCC